rnacentral:rRNA from 1 species
UCUACAAGCGCUCAGAGCCCUAUGGUGGCAACACCAGGGUGAUGGGGUGCCUUUUGCAUAAUGAUCCGGCGACUUACCGUCACCAGCAAGGUUAACCAUUUCUGAUGGGUAGCCGAAGCGAAAGCGAGUCUGAACAGGGCGACAAGUUGGGGGCGGUAGACGCGAAACCACGUGAACUACGCAUGGCCAGGUUGAAGUGGGGGUAAUGCCUCAUGGAGGACCGAACUCACUAGUGUUGAAAAACUAGGGGAUGAGCUGUGUGGAGGAUUGAAAGUAUCAUCAAACGUGGAGAUAGCUCGUUCUCCGUGAAAUAACUUUAGGGUUAACGUCGAGGUAGUUGGCAAGGGAGGUAGAGCGACUGAAUCGGAAUGGGGGACUACCCGUCUACCCAUCCGAACCAAACUCCGAAUGCCCUUGUACCAAGCCUCGGCAGCUAGACGGCGGGGGAUAAGCUCCGUCGUCGAGAGGGGAACAACCCAGACCGCCCGCUAAGGCCCCCAAGUCACGCUCAGUGCGAAAGGAAGUUGGACUCCGAAGACAGUCCGGAUGUUGGCUUAGAAGCAGCCAUCAUUUCAAAAGUGCGUAAUAGCUUACGGAUCGAGGAGUCCUGCGCCGAUAAUGAACGGGACUAAGCGUGACGCCGAAGCGGCGGAUUGGCAGCAAUGCCAGUGGUAACGGAGCGUCGUGUGGCAGGGUGAAGGGGCACGGUAACGAGCCCUGGACGAGACACGAGUGAUCAUGCCGGAACGAGUAACGAUAAAACGGGUGAGAAUCCCGUUCGCCGAAAGCCUAAGGUUUCCUGGGGAAGGUAAAUCCGCCCAGGGUUAGUCGGCCCCUAAGGCGAGGCCGAAAGGCGUAGCCGAUGGAAGGCAGGUUAAUAUUCCUGCACCACCUACGUAGGUGAACACGUCAGGACGCUGGCCAGGAGGAGGUCGACCCGCUAGUCGUGGUCGUCUCGAAAGAGCGAGGGCACAUACGAUCCCGAAGCCCCCGAAUGGACAGUCUAGAAAAGCCGGCGUGGGACGAAGUAGGUGACCGUACUAAAACUGACACGGGUAGGCGAGAAGAAUAUUCUCAGGCGCUCGAGAGAACGCUGGUAAAGGAACUCGGCAAAUUAACCCCGUAACUUCGGGAAAAGGGGUGCUCCUCAGGGUGAAAGCCCCAGGGAGCCGCAGAGAAAUGGAUCUGGCGACUGUUUACUAAAAACACAGGACUCUGCGAACUCGUAAGAGGAAGUAUAGAGUCUGACGCCUGCCCGGUGUCGGUAGGUUAAGGGAGAGGGUUAGCCCCUUAAAAGGUGAAGCUCGCAACCGAAGCCCCGAUAAACGGCGGCCGUAACUAUGACGGUCCUAAGGUAGCGAAGUUCCUUGUCGGGUAAGUUCCGACCUGCAUGAAUGGCGUAACGACCGGAUCACUGUCUCUACCAGCGACUCGGUGAAACUGUAGUUGUUGUGAAGAUGCAACAUACCCG